GGAGAAGUGGAGGAUGUCUUGUUUACUGCCACAGUUUAAGUGCCAACCAGACAGUUUCUCUAUCCAUUUUAGAACUCACUACCAUCACGGCUCCAACUUUACCCAAUCUUCUGCAAAGAGUAGAGAGCCAAUCUGUUCCCCAGCACAAUGCAUUUUGUCGACCACAUCACCAUCCACAUCCAUUGCAGUGCUUGAUCUGGAGAAGC
rnacentral:misc_RNA from 1 species